rnacentral:rRNA from 2 species
GUGCGAGACCGAUAGCGAACAAGUACCGUGAGGAAAAGAUGAAAAGAACUUUGAAAAGAGAGUUAAAGAGUACCUGAGACUGCUGAAAGGGAACCGAAUCGUUUCCAGUGUCUAUAAUCCAUGGUAUAUUUCAUUGGCGAGUGAGUGCGUGCAGCGUUUUGGAAGCGGUCUCCGCUCCUGUCGUUGUUGUGCAUUUGCUUGCUGGUGCCCUGUGCUGUGGUGGGACGUCAGAGUCAGUUUGUAUGUUGCGGGAAAUGGUUAUCAGGGAGGUAGGUCGCUUCGGUGGCUGUUAUAUCCUGGUAACUAGUCGUCGUGGCUGAGACUGAGGUGCCUACAAUGUGCUUUCGAGUGUGCGGGUUUCUCGUGUGGCUGUUUGCUUUGAUAGCUUGCUAUGUUGGUGAAUAAGUUGUGCGAUUGAGACCUGUAUUAACUUGUUGCUGUUCGGGACUUUGA